GGUAGAUCAAAGAUCUCAUCCAUGCAAGGUCUCUCCAAGCCUGGAGAAAAAGAAGCAGUAAGUGAGAGUGUUCUCGCGAGAGACUGCAGAGCGGUGAGCAGUCAUGGGUGGUUAACGGAGGAGGCUGAGGACCUGGAAACAUUGUGGACAGUGCUCCUUGGCAGGUUGAAUUUCCUUUUUGAACCCAGCUUUCUUGGCGUUGACCCUUAGUUCUCUGGUUUGUUACUGUCCUGGUGAUUGACACAGUAUCUCCUUGUUCUGUUCCACAUGGAGCGACCUCCUUCCUUGAUCCCUACCCCAAAUCGGACCUGUCUCUAGACCCACGUGACAAAAAUGGAUUCCGGAUGAAUGAAACAGAAGAGCUUAUGGAGGGAAAAUUAAAGAGCUCAAGAACCACCAAGGCUGCUGGCGAAUCAGGCCGUCUCCUAGGAGACCGGGAGACCAGAGGGAAAUGAUGUGGAGUCACUGCUGGCUGGUGGGUGGCCCAUGGGUCACGGGUCUGCACCACCACCACUGCCCCUGCAGGCUGGUCCUGCCUCCCGUGGGGCCCCACACACAUAAGAAGGGGUUCGAGAUCCUAGAAAUAAAAUGCUGGCCACCACAGCUCAUUAGAAUGCUUUGGUAAACGAGGAGCUAUCUUUCUGGAU